CCUACGGGUGGCAGCAGUGAGGAAUAUUGGUCAAUGGACGGGAGUCUGAACCAGCCAAGCAGCGUGCAGGAAGACGGCUCUAUGGGUUGUAAACUGCUUUUGUACAAGGGUAAACCUGAGUACGUGUAUUCAGCUGAAAGUACUUUACGAAUAAGGAUCGGCUAACUCCGUGCCAGCAGCCGCGGUAAUACGGAGGAUCCGAGCGUUAUCCGGAUUUAUUGGGUUUAAAGGGUGCGUAGGCGGAUUGAUAAGUUAGUGGUGAAAGGUUCGGGCUUAACUCGGGAACUGCAUUUAAUACUGUUGAUCUAGAGAGUAGAUGAGGUAGGCGGAAUGUAUGGUGUAGCGGUGAAAUGCUUAGAGAUCAUACAGAACACCGAUUGCGAAGGCAGCUUACCAAUCU
rnacentral:rRNA from 1 species